AUUGAACGCUGGCGGCAUGCCUUACACAUGCAAGUCGAACGGCAGCACGGGAGCAAUCCUGGUGGCGAGUGGCGAACGGGUGAGUAAUAUAUCGGAACGUGCCCAGUCGUGGGGAUAACGUAGCGAAAGCUACGCUAAUACCGCAUACGAUCUAUGGAUGAAAGCGGGGGAUCGCAAGACCUCGCGCGAUUGGAGCGGCCGAUAUCAGAUUAGGUAGUUGGUGAGGUAAAGGCUCACCAAGCCGACGAUCUGUAGCUGGUCUGAGAGGACGACAGCCACACGUGGGACUGAGACACGGCCCAGACUCCGUA
rnacentral:rRNA from 1 species